AGCACGCAGAAACAGGAGCCAGGUCAAGAAACAAGUCUUGUAAUCGGAGAUAACAGCAUUUUCCGAAAUCUUGGGAAACAUCAUAGAAGAUAAUGAUCAGCAAAACAAAGGAAGGAUGAGGGAAGGAAAGGUGACCCUAAGAUCUCCAAGUGAGAACCAAGGAGAACCAUCAAAGCAGUCUAAGCAGGCAGGAAAAACUGGCAAAGAUCAGGAUGUGGAUAGACCAGCUAUUGAACCUACAUCUCAUCGAUGGCUUUGGAGUAAGGCCGAAAAGGCAGCAGUAUGGCAACAGCUUUGCCAAUAUGUAACCUUAGAGAGUUCCUGGUAAAGAACCAUGUCUUGAAGUACUUAAAGUUGAGCCUGCACUGAGAAGCCAAACUUGGAAAGACAUAAAAAACAAGUUUACAAUACUAUUACUGUUCAAAAGCCGAAAAAACAUUCUACAUUAGAUAUGGUCAAUCUUACAUUGUUUGGUUAAAACUACAAAAGAAGUUGUAAGCAGUGCAUAUUUGGCAAUGGUCCUUUGCCUAGUGUUUGGACAGCAGCAAAAAUAUGUAUUUUUGUUCCAUAAACAAAUAAAAUAGUUUGCAUUCGG